rnacentral:sRNA from 2 species
CCGAGCGAAGCGAGAGAACGUUGCGUCAGCAACGGCCCGCAGGGCGAGCCACGCAGUGGCGAGUCAUCCUCUAUCACCGACCA